rnacentral:lncRNA from 1 species
AUUAUCAAAAUAAUGAUUCUUCGCCUUUGUUAAUUUUUUAUACGCAUAAUAAAUUGCAUAGUAGAAAGGAUAAAAAUACUCUACAAAAAAAAAGUAUAAAAAUACAAAUGAUAACAUUUGUACCAACAAAAAAAAGAAAACAAAUUUUAAACCAAAGAAAAAAGGUAAACAAAUGAUUGCAUAAAAAUAACAAUAAUUGGUACAUUUUCUUAUAAAAAAUAUACAAUAAAAUAAUCAACUCCAUUUAAAAUAGUUCAACAUAACACGGCAAAGGAACACAUGAAUAAAACACAUAACACAAAUAAAUAACCAAUAUUAUGUACCAAAAAAAUAAAUUAAAUAACUAACAUUAACUCUUGCCAUAAGCAUAAUAAGAGCUAAAAGUUCAAAAGCAAAAGAUAUAAAAAUCCAAAAAAAUCAUCACUAUGGUCCAACCAUCAUCAUAAACGCGGAUUGAACAAAC